GACGAACGCUGGCGGCGUGCUUAACACAUGCAAGUCGAACGAAGAGCGAUGGAAGCUUGCUUCUAUCAAUCUUAGUGGCGAACAGGUGAGUAACGCGUAAUCAACCUGCCCUUCAGAGGGGGACAACAGUUGGAAACGACUGCUAAUACCGCAUACGAUCUGACCUCGGCAUCGAGGAUAGAUGAAAGGUGGCCUCUACAUGUAAGCUAUCACUGAAGGAGGGGAUUGCGUCUGAUUAGCUAGUUGGAGGGGUAACGGCCCACCAAGGCGAUGAUCAGUAGCCGGUCUGAGAGGAUGAACGGCCACAUUGGGACUGAGACACGGCCCAGACUCCUACGGGAGGCAGCAGUGGGGAAUCUUCCGCAAUGGACGAAAGUCUGACGGAGCAACGCCGCGUGAGUGAUGACGGCCUUCGGGUUGUAAAGCUCUGUUAAUCGGGACGAAAGGCCUUCUUGUGAAUAGUGAGAAGGAU
rnacentral:rRNA from 1 species